rnacentral:rRNA from 1 species
CGGGUGAGUAACGCGUGGGAACGUGCCCUUCGCUUCGGAAUAGCCUCGGGAAACUGGGAGUAAUACCGGAUACGCCGUAUUGGGAAAGAUUUAUCGGCGAAGGAUCGGCCCGCGUUAGAUUAGCUAGUUGGCGGUGUAAUGGACCACCAAGGCUACGAUCUAUAGCUGGUCUGAGAGGAUGAUCAGCCACACUGGGACUGAGACACGGCCCAGACUCCUACGGGAGGCAGCAGUGGGGAAUCUUGGACAAUGGGCGCAAGCCUGAUCCAGCCAUGCCGCGUGAGUGA